UAGUAACUGCGAGUGAAGCGGGAAAAGCUCAAAUUUAAAAUCUGGUGGUCUCUUUGGCCAUCCGAGUUGUAGUCUGGAGAAGUGCUUUCCGCGUUGGACCGUGUACAAGUCUCUUGGAACAGAGCGUCAUAGAGGGUGAGAAUCCCGUCUUUGACACGGACUACCAAUGCUUUGUGAUGUGCUCUCAAAGAGUCGAGUUGUUUGGGAAUGCAGCUCAAAAUGGGUGGUAAAUUCCAUCUAAAGCUAAAUAUUGGCGAGAGACCGAUAGCGAACAAGUACCGUGAGGGAAAGAUGAAAAGCACUUUGGAAAGAGAGUUAAACAGUACGUGAAAUUGCUGAAAGGGAAACGCUUGAAGUCAGUCGCGUUGGCUGGAACUCAGCCUUGCUUUUUUGCUAGGUGCAUUUUCUGGUUGACGGGCCAGCAUCAAUUUUGAUUGUUGGAUAAAGGCUGGGAGAAUGUAGCACCUUCGGGUGUGUUAUAGCUCUCGGUCACAUACAACAGUUGGGAUUGAGGAUCUCAGCACGCCUUUAUGGCCGGGGGUAUACCCACGUUCGUGCUUAGGAUGCUGGCAUAAUGGCUUUAAACGACCCGUCUUGAAACACGGACCAAGGAGUCUAACAUGCCUGCGAGUGUUUGGGUGGAAAACCCGAGUGCGUAAUGAAAGUGAAAGUUGGGAUCUCUGUCAUGGAGAGCACUGACGCCCGGUCCUGACCUUCUGUGACGGUUCCGCGGUAGAGCAUGUAUGUUGGGACCCGAAAGAUGGUGAACUAUGCCUGAAUAGGGUGAAGCCAGAGGAAACUCUGGUGGAGGCUCGUAGCGAUUCUGACGUGCAAAUCGAUCGUCAAAUUUGGGUAUAGGGGCGAAAGACUAAUCGAACCAUC
rnacentral:rRNA from 1 species